GUGGGGAAUUUUGGACAAUGGGCGCAAGCCUGAUCCAGCAAUGCCGCGUGCAGGAAGAAGGCCUUCGGGUUGUAAACUGCUUUUGUACGGAACGAAAAGGCUCUGGUUAAUACCUGGGGCUCAUGACGGUACCGUAAGAAUAAGCACCGGCUAACUACGUGCCAGCAGCCGCGGUAAUACGUAGGGUGCAAGCGUUAAUCGGAAUUACUGGGCGUAAAGCGUGCGCAGGCGGUUUUGUAAGACAGACGUGAAAUCCCCGGGCUCAACCUGGGAAUGGCGUUUGUGACUGCAAAGCUGGAGUGCGGCAGAGGGGGAUGGAAUUCCGCGUGUAGCAGUGAAAUGCGUAGAUAUGCGGAGGAACACCGAUGGCGAAGGCAGCCUCCUGGGAUGACACUGACGCUCAUGCACGAAAGCGUGGGGAGCAAACAGGAUUAGAUACCCCAGUAGUCC
rnacentral:rRNA from 1 species